GUGGGGAAUAUUGGGCAAUGGGCGCAAGCCUGACCCAGCAACGCCGCGUGAAGGAAGAAGGCUUUCGGGUUGUAAACUUCUUUUCUGAGGGACGAAGCAAGUGACGGUACCUUAGGAAUAAGCCACGGCUAACUACGUGCC
rnacentral:rRNA from 1 species